AUUGAACGCUGGCGGCAUGCUUUACACAUGCAAGUCGAACGGUAACAGGCCUUCGGGUGCUGACGAGUGGCGAACGGGUGCGUAAUGCAUCGGAACGUGCCCAGAGGUGGGGGAUAACGCAGCGAAAGCUGUGCUAAUACCGCAUGUGAUCUGAGGAUGAAAGCGGGGGACCAGGCAGCAAUGUUUGGCCUCGCGCCUUUGGAGCGGCCGAUGUCAGAUUAGGUAGUUGGUGGGGUAAAGGCCUACCAAGCCGACGAUCUGUAGCUGGUCUGAGAGGACGACCAGCCACACUGGAACUGAGACACGGCCCAGACUCCUACGGGAGGCAGCAGUGGGGAAUUUUGGACAAUGGGCGCAAGCCUGAUCCAGCAAUGCCGCGUGCGGGAAGAAGGCCUUCGGGUUGUAAACCGCUUUUGUACGGAACGAAAAGGCUCUGGCUAAUACCUGGGGCUGAUGACGGUACCGUAAGAAUAAGCACCGGCUAACUACGUG
rnacentral:rRNA from 1 species